rnacentral:rRNA from 1 species
UCAGGAUGAACGCUGACAGGAAUGCUUAACACAUGCAGGUCUACUUGAUCCUCGGGUGAAGGUGGCGGACGGGUGAGUAACGCGUAAAGAACUUGCCUUACAGACUGGGACAACAUUUGGAAACGAAUGCUAAUACCGGAUAUUAUGAUUGGGUCGCAUGAUCUGGUUAUGAAAGCUAUAUGCGCUGUGAGAGAGCUUUGCGUCCCAUUAGUUAGUUGGUGAGGUAACGGCUCACCAAGACGAUGAUGGGUAGCCGGCCUGAGAGGGUGAACGGCCACAAGGGGACUGAGACACGGCCCUUACUCCUACGGGAGGCAGCAGUGGGGAAUAUUGGACAAUGGACCAAAAGUCUGAUCCAGCCAAUUCUGUGUGCACGAUGAAGUUUUUCGGAAUGUAAAGUGCUUUCAGUUGGGAAGAAGUCAGUGACGGUACCAACAGAAGAAGCGACGGCUAAAUACGUGCCAGCCGCGGC